rnacentral:rRNA from 1 species
UACGAAGGGUGCAAGCGUUCAUCGGAAUUACUGGGCGUAAAGGGUGCGUAGGCGGUUCGUUAAGUCUGUCGUGAAAUCCCCGGGCUCAACCUGGGAAUGGCGAUGGAUACUGGCGAGCUAGAGUGUGUCAGAGGAUGGUGGAAUUCCCGGUGUAGCGGUGAAAUGCGUAGAGAUCGGGAGGAACAUCAGUGGCGAAGGCGGCCAUCUGGGACAACACUGACGCUGAAGCACGAAAGCGUGGGGAGCAAACAGG